ACAGUUUAAAGUCAAUUAUACUUGACCAACCAUACACCAUGGAGAUUAUCUUAUUUCGUAUCAUCACCGUUGAUGUUUUGUGAUCAGAGUGCAUUAAUUAUAUAAUUGAAAUAAACGGUGAUGAUCUAUUCAUGUGAUUUAGGUAACAUAUAGUAGAACAUUAACAUUGAUGAUCAUUUUAAAAGACGUGGGUUGACAGGUUGUCCAAUGCAUAAAAUUUCUUUAUUUCUAUUGUUUCUUGGUCGCAUACGCUAUUAAUUUUGGAAAUAACGAGUAUUUUUUAUUUUUAUUUUUAAAACGAAAAAUAAUUAAGUUUCUUGCUUUCUUUGAACAUUUUAUAUCUUUUGGUUGUUUCGUUAAGCACUUGGAUUGUACAUCUUAAAAAGGCUGAAACUUUACCAUUUUUUGGUUCAUGGGUCAAAUAUAUAGUAGCUAUUAUCAGUUUGAUUUUUCUCUCUUUUAUUAUAUUUAAGCUUGAGGUGAAUCUGAUCGCAAUUUUGGCUGGUAGGAUUGAGAUUAAAAGGCAUCUUUUUGCAGUUCUUUUGUUUAUAGAGAAUCUGCUUUGAUCGAUUUGGAGUUGGGAUCAGAACAUGUCCACUUCCCAUUUGAAAUGCCUAACCUUGGAUGUUGGAACGACAGAAUGAAACAUGGAUCAACAGAGGCAAUAGAAUGCACCGCAAAAAAAAAAAAAAAAA